UACGUAGGGGGCAAGCGUUGUCCGGAUUCAUUGGGCGUAAAGGGCUCGUAGGCGGCCAACUAAGUCGGAUGUGAAAUCCCCAGGCUUAACCUGGGAACUGCAUCCGAUACUGGAUGGCUUGAAUCCGGGAGAGGGAUGCAGAAUUCCAGGUGUAGCGGUGAAAUGCGUAGAUAUCUGGAGGAAUACCGGUGGCGAAGGCGGCAUCCUGGACCGGCAUUGACGCUGAUGAGCGAAAGCUAGGGGAGCAAACGGG
rnacentral:rRNA from 1 species